UUUUCCAUGUGGGGCAAAAAUUUUAAUUAACAAAAAAAAAAAAAAGUAGAUGGCACAAACUCUUGGGUGACUUCCAAUAGUUCCAUGGUUAACUGUUUGAGAUGAAGAUUUUAGAGUAGAAAGAAGAAGGAAAUUUAGCCAUGGAAUCAGGAUGAUGAGCUGAGUUUCGCCUCUCUGGAAUAGCAUGAUUUUGAAAAACUAAAGACUGAAUGAAGCUCUAAAGAUCGCACCUGGCCCCAAUACUACUCAUACUCGGAAAAAAAAUCUGUAUAUUUCUCUCAUAAACGAAGACUAAAGACUUCAUUUUGAUAAAAUCUUCGAACAUAAUGAUAAAAAAGAACACUACAAAGUUUGACUCUUCACUAGGCCUCAGGUAUUUGUUCUAUGUGCGAUAUUGAGAAAAGAUUGUGUAUACCCAUUUCGAGUUUUGAUCUUUUUCGGUCAAGUUUCGAGGAAAUAGCAAGAUUGAGGUUAGAUCGUAUCUGGGAUUUGUUUACACUUAUCUAAAGUUCGGACCUUUGGUUGAUUUUGAUUCAAUUCUAUAAUGGAGAAUGAGACUACUUAUAAUGGAGGGUUGGAGAUUGAAAAAUUUAAGAGAGAUGAUAUGGAAAUUGCACCAUGGACCAAACAGAUCACUCUUCGUGGGUUGGUGGCAAGUAUAGUGAUUGGAAUCAUUUACAGUGUCAUAGUAAUGAAGCUGAUUCUCACCACUGGUAUGGUCCCAAAUCUCAAUGUCUCAGCUGCUCUUCUUGCUUUUGUGUUUGUUAGGACAUGGACUAAUUUGCUUAGCAAGGUUGGAAUUGUGUCAUCUCCUUUCACUAGACAAGAGAAUACUACAAUCCAAACUUGUGCAGUUGCAUGUUAUGGUAUUGCUGUUGCAGGUGGGUUUGGAUCUUAUCUGUUGGGUUUGAACCAGAAAACCUAUGAACAAGCAGGAGUUGAUACAGAAGGCAAUACUAUUGGGAGUACUAAAGAGCCUGGUAUUGGUUGGAUCACUGGUUUUCUCUUUGUUACUUGUUUUGUUGGGUUAUUGACCUUGGUACCUCUUAGAAAGAUUAUGAUUAUAGACUACAAACUAUCUUAUCCAAGUGGAACUGCUACUGCUGUUCUUAUCAAUGGUUUUCACACACCUAAAGGAGACAAAAUGGCUAAGAAACAGGUUGAUGGGUUCAUGAGAUUCUUUUCAAUUAGUUUCAUAUGGGGUUUCUUUCAGUGGUUUUAUUCAGGUGGAGAUCAAUGUGGAUUUAAUCAGUUCCCAAUAUUUGGAUUGAAAGCUUGGAAAAACUCAUUUUACUUUGAUUUUAGUGCCACUUACGUUGGGGCAGGUAUGAUCUGUUCCCAUCUAGUGAACUUGUCUUUGCUUCUUGGUGCUGUGCUCUCAUGGGGUGUAAUGUGGCCCUUGAUAAGGGGUCUUAAAGGAGAGUGGUUCCCUCAAACUUUAUCAGAAAGCAGUAUGAAAAGUCUAAAUGGUUACAAGGUUUUCAUCUCCAUAGCUUUGAUACUUGGAGAUGGGCUCUAUAACUUUCUCAAGAUACUGUUUUUCACUGCCACAAACAUCCAUACCAAAAUGAAGAACAAGGCCCACAAAACAUCUAUAAACAAUCAAACUGAGACCCUUGAUGAUCUUAAAAGAAAUGAGUUGUUUGUAAGAGAUAGCAUUCCUCUUUGGAUAGCAUGCGUCGGUUAUGGUUUCUUUGCCCUCAUUUCCAUCAUUACUAUCCCAAUAAUGUUCCCGGAGCUCAAAUGGUACUAUGUGGUUGUUGCCUACAUUCUUGCACCUUCUCUGAGCUUCUGCAAUGCUUAUGGUGCUGGUUUAACAGACAUGAACAUGGCUUAUAAUUAUGGUAAAGUGGCUCUUUUUGUUCUUGCAAAUCUUGCUGGAAAGGAUAAUGGUGUGGUUGCUGGGCUUGUUGGUUGCGGUUUGAUCAAGUCCAUUGUGUCCAUAUCUUCUGAUUUGAUGCAUGAUUUCAAGACCGGCCAUCUCACUCUGACAUCUCCUCGAUCCAUGCUUGUAAGCCAGGCUAUCGGGACUGCAAUAGGCUGUGUGGUGGCGCCUGUCACAUUCUUCCUUUUCUACAAGGUCUUUAAUGUAGGGGACCCGAAUGGUGAAUACAAAGCUCCAUACGCAAUAAUCUACAGAAACAUGGCAAUUCUAGGUGUUCAAGGCUUUUCUGCGUUGCCUCAGCAUUGCUUGCAGCUCUGUUAUGGCUUCUUCACAUUCGCCAUUGGAGCCAACCUUCUUAGAGACCUUUCACCAAAGCAUAUCGGUAAAUGGGUUCCCCUCCCAAUGGCCAUGGCCGUUCCUUUCUUGGUUGGUGCUUACUUUGCCAUCGACAUGUGUGUGGGAAGUUUGGUUGUUUUUGUGUGGCACAAACUGAAUGAUCAGACUGCUGCCCUGAUGAUUCCUGCUGUUGCUUCGGGUUUGAUCUGUGGAGAUGGUUUGUGGAUUCUUCCCUCAUCAAUACUUUCAUUGGCCAAGGUUCGUCCUCCAAAUUGCAUGCGCUUCUAGACAGCAAACUAAGAAGAAGAAAAUAACUCGAAUUGUGCUUCCUUAGAUAGAGUUAUGCUCUUUCUGACUCUCGAGAGCAAUUCAAAUGGUCUGGCAUGUGGUUUGUUAGUAUAAGGUUCGAGAUUCGAGUCUCUCCUGGAUAUCCACACAAUUUCGAUGUAUAUUAGAGCUCGAGCAAGGUAAGAGAAAGGGAGGAGAGUCAGCUGGCUCACACAAAAGAGAGCACAAGUACUCUACCAAGGUGUGGUCAUUGAAAACAAGUGAGUGGCAUGGUUGAACAUACUUACAUAUUUAUUGAAACUCACACACCAAGACAAAAACAUUAAAGUCCAUAUUCAUAUUUGGAUAUUUCUUAUCAUGAUGUUUUCAGUAUCUUUUCUCUUUAAAAAUAUUAUUACAGAACAGAUUGAUUGAGCCACACAACACAAGUUUACUUAACAAUAUGGUUCUUUUUCUCUAUGAUUUUGAUUUUGUGUAUUAUAAAAGUGUGUAUGACAUUAUUUCUUGGAAAAAUUGAACAAUAAGUGAUUUGAAAUUCAU